rnacentral:rRNA from 1 species
AUUGAACGCUGGCGGCAGGCCUAACACAUGCAAGUCGAGCGGAUGAAGGGAGCUUGCUCCUGGAUUCAGCGGCGGACGGGUGAGUAAUGCCUAGGAAUCUGCCUGGUAGUGGGGGAUAACGUCCGGAAACGGGCGCUAAUACCGCAUACGUCCUGAGGGAGAAAGUGGGGGAUCUUCGGACCUCACGCUAUCAGAUGAGCCUAGGUCGGAUUAGCUAGUUGGUGGGGUAAAGGCCUACCAAGGCGACGAUCCGUAACUGGUCUGAGAGGAUGAUCAGUCACACUGGAACUGAGACACGGUCCAGACUCCUACGGGAGGCAGCAGUGGGGGAUAUUGGACAAUGGGCCAAAGCCUGAUCCAGCCAUGCCGCGUGUGUGAAGAAGGUCUUCGGAUUGUAAAGCACUUUAAGUGGGGAGGAAGGGCAGUAAGUUAAUACCUUGCUGUUUUGACGUUACCAACAGAAUAAGCACCGGCUAACUUCGUG